GAUGAACGCUGGCGGCGUGCCUAAUACAUGCAAGUCGAGCGAACGGACGAGAAGCUUGCUUCUCUGAUGUUAGCGGCGGACGGGUGAGUAACACGUGGAUAACCUACCUAUAAGACUGGGAUAACUUCGGGAAACCGGAGCUAAUACCGGAUAAUAUUUUGAACCGCAUGGUUCAAAAGUGAAAGACGGUCUUGCUGUCACUUAUAGAUGGAUCCGCGCUGCAUUAGCUAGUUGGUAAGGUAACGGCUUACCAAGGCAACGAUGCAUAGCCGACCUGAGAGGGUGAUAGGCCACACUGGAACUGAGACACGGUCAAGACUCCUACGGGAGGCAGCAGUAGGGAAUCUUCCGCAAUGGGCGAAAGCCUGACGGAGCAACGCCGCGUGAGUGAUGAAGGUCUUCGGAUCGUAAAACUCUGUUAUUAGGGAAGAACAUAUGUGUAAGUAACUGUGCACAUCUUGACGGUACCUAAUCAGAAAGCCACGGCUAACUACGUG
rnacentral:rRNA from 1 species